UACGUAGGCAGCGAGCGUUGUUCGGAGUUACUGGGCGUAAAGGGUGUGUAGGCGGUUGUUUAAGUUUGGUGUGAAAUCUCCCGGCCAACUGGGAGGGUGCGCCGAAUACUGAAUGACUUGGAGUGCGGGAGAGGAGAGUGGAAUUCCUGGUGUAGCGGUGAAAUGCGUAGAUAUCAGGAGGAACACCGGUGGUGUAGACGGCUCUCUGGACCGUAACUGACGCUGAGACACGAAAGCGUGGGUAGCAAACAGG
rnacentral:rRNA from 1 species